rnacentral:RNase_P_RNA from 1 species
AAUGCAGGCCGCCUUAUCGCUGAAUAGUUUUAUUUAGAGGAAAGUCCGGACACCGUAGGGAAGCAUAGUGGUUAACAGCCAUCAGCCGAAAGGUUAGGACAAGUGCAACAGAAAGAAUGUACAGAUAAUGCUGUAGUGAAACCAGGUAAACUCUAUGCGGUGCAAUACCAUGUAUACCGGCGUUUAAGAUUGCCCGAUCGAUGCCGGAGGGUAGGUAGCUAGAGAUUUUUGGCAACAAAAAUUCCAGAUAAAUGAUAAGGACUCGUUUUUCGAGAACAGAAUCCGGCUUAUAGGCCUGCUAUUUUU